ACUUAUAUCAGACAUUCGAACGGCACGUGUUCCCAUUGGGUCUUUAUGCAAUAUAUUAGGAUAUGUUUUGAAAGUCAGCUAUCCAUACCAGUUUUCUUGCUCAGAAGAAAAAACUACACUGUACCAAUCUCUUAGAUGCGUUGAUAUGUCUUGUCGCGAAGAGUCGGAUGCAAUCACAAUUUCAGCAUGGGGAGAUAACUGUGCGAUGUUGGAUCUGGUGAACGUUGGCGAUGUAGUGCUAUUUGAAAAUGUAAAAGUAUCUCAAUGGAAACAAAAUUAUCAAGUAAUAGCUACAUGGUGCAGUCUUGUUUAUGUCAAUCCUGCUGUUCCUGAAUUAUCUAAUUUAAAAAGUUGGUCACCAGUCAAGGUGACACGCAAUGUAGAGAUACCUGUAAAAAAGAUGAAACUAACUACUGACUUUCAUAAACCCGUUGAAAAUGAAGCCUUCAGGAGUAUUUGCUCAAAACCGAUGACGAUAAGAAGAAAUCCCGCGUCCUGUUUGCUAUUAUCUAAGAACUUGGACGCCUCGCCUAAAUUUACCCUGAAAGAUAAAUAUGCGUCUCUCAUUGAUGCACAUUGGAUGAAAAUAGGAGAAUGCGCAUGCGUAAUUGCAAUGAUUAGUGAAUUUGAUGCUCAUUCUCGAACAGUUUUGAUAUGUUCACAUUGUGAACGUGUCUUGGAAAAAUGUUUCUGCUCAUUCAAAUUUCAAAAUUCAACAUGGAAAUUCGAAUUCAAAAUAUCUAUCAUAGAUCAUAGCUAUUUUAUUGAACAGGUCGAACUGAAUGAUUCUGAUGUCACUAAACUGUUGGGAAUAUCCGCCUCCUUGUUUGUAAAAAUGCAAAAAGACGAAUCUGACGCAUUAUUGCGUCGCCAACUUUGGAAUAGGUGCAGAAUCAAAAUACUAAAGACUUCUGAAUUUUCCUACCGUGCGGUUGGUUUGGAGGUUAUGGACUUCAAACUGAAGCUAGAAGAGUAAUGAUAUCGAGAAUUUUUAUUGUGGAAUGUCUAAAUGACCCGUAAUAACAGCUUUGGUAUCUGCUGCUUUGGUGUCUACACGCAGUUCAUACACUCGAUAAAGUGCCCAAGUUUCCAUAUUUCUAU